rnacentral:rRNA from 1 species
AACGAACGCUGGCGGCAUGCCUAACACAUGCAAGUCGAACGAGACCUUCGGGUCUAGUGGCGCACGGGUGCGUAACGCGUGGGAACCUGCCCUUAGGUUCGGAAUAACUCCCCGAAAGGGGUGCUAAUACCGGAUAAUGUCUUCGGACCAAAGAUUUAUCGCCUUUGGAUGGGCCCGCGUUAGAUUAGCUAGUUGGUAGGGUAAAAGCCUACCAAGGCGACGAUCCAUAGCUGGUCUGAGAGGAUGAUCAGCCACACUGGGACUGAGACACGGCCCAGACUCCUACGGGAGGCAGCAGUGGGGAAUAUUGGACAAUGGGCGAAAGCCUGAUCCAGCAAUGCCGCGUGAGUGAUGAAGGCCUUAGGGUUGUAAAGCUCUUUUACCCGGGAUGAUAAUGACAGUACCGGGAGAAUAAGCUCCGGCUAACUCCGUGC